GCGGCUGCUUACCAUGCAAGUCGAACGGCAGCACGGGGUCUCCUGUUGGCGAGUGGGGAACGGGUGAGUAAUAUAUCGGAACAUGCCCUCGAGUGGGGGAUAACGUAGCGAAAGUUACGCUAAUACCGCAUACGCACUCUGGUGGAAAGUGGGGGAUCGCAAGACCUCGUGCUCAUGGAGUGGCCGAUAUCUGAUUAGCUAGUUGGUGAGGUAAAGGCUCACCAAGGCGACGAUCAGUAGCUGGUCUGAGAGGACGACCAGCCACACUGGAACUGAGACACGGUCCAGACUCCUACGGGAGGCAGCAGUGGGGAAUUUUGGACAAUGGGGGCAACCCUGAUCCAGCAAUGCCGCGUGAGUGAAGAAGGCCUUCGGGUUGUAAAGUUCUUUUGUCAGGAAAGAAACGACGAUCUCUAAUAUAGAUUGCUCAUGACGGUACCUGAAGAAUAAGCACCGGCUAACUACUUGCCAGCAGCCGCGGUAAUACGUAGGGUGCAAGCGUUAAUCGGAAUUACUGGGCGUAAAGCGUGCGCAGGCGGUUAUAUAAGACAGAUGUGAAAUCCCCGGGCUCAACCUGGGAACUGCAUUUGAGACUGUAUGGCUAGAGUGUGUCAGAGGGGGGUAGAAUUCCUCGUGUAGCAGUGAAAUGCGUAGAUAUGUGGAGGAAUACCGAUGGCGAAGGCAGCCCCCCUGUGAUUACACUGACGCUCAUGCACGAAAGCGUGGGGAGCAAACAAGGAUUAUAUACCCUGGUAGUCCACGCCCUAAACGAUGUCUACUAGUUGUCGGGGUCUUCAUUUGACUCGGUAACGCAGCUAACACGUGAAGUAGACCGCCUGGGGGAGUACGGUCGCACGAUUAAAACUCAUAGGAAUUGACGGGGGACCCGCACAAGCGGUGGAUGAUGUGGAUUAUUUCUAUGCUACGCGGAAAAACAUUACCUA
rnacentral:rRNA from 1 species